CCACCCCCCACCAGCAGCCGCAGCCGCCUCUCCCCACGGGCGCGCCCCCGCCGCCACCCAGACGCGCGGGCCCGUACGGCGGCCCCGCCCCAAGAGCGAAGACCAAGCCGCCCUCGCUCGCCUGUCCGGACCCGCCCUCGCCCGCUCUGAGUGGCUGGAAGCCGCUUCCGGGGCGUGGCUCUCCCUGGGCGCUCGCUGCUCGCUGCGGUGAGGUUGGGUUCUGGUGGACGUCCUGCGUCUGGAAGCCGGGCCAAGCCCAGUGGGUCAGACAGUAAACUUCUUAUGGGCCUUGCGGCCUCAGGGUUUGGCGGGGAGGGAAGGCUGAUUCCCAAAGUGCUUCAGCGCUACCGCCGGCCGCGGGCUGGGACUACAAGACCCCGCCUGCCGGAGUGCCCGGAGCAGGGUGGGACAGAGGUAUGCUGGGAACUGUAGUAGAGCCUCCUCUGCUUUCACUGCUCGUAGGUGCUCUUCUGACUAAUUGGUGAGGGUCACCCAAGGCCUUGGCACUUUGGCUAGCAGAAACCAAUGGUUUCUUGGGUGAAAGGGCUUACCCUUCGCAAACAUUCUAACCCCAGUGAGUGAAGCUUUUAAUUCAGAGUGCGCCCUUCACAUGACACCCUUUUUGCCAAGAGGAAGGCAAAAUUGCUUCCUAUCUUAAAAUUCUCACGGUUUCAGAAUUGAAUGAGUGACAUUCUUUUCAUAAAAUAGAAUUUGUGACUCUUAGCAGAGAACAUGCUGAUGCAAUCCGUCCUUUCAUAAAUAAAAGUGAUUUGCCCAAAGUUCACUCCCCACAGCAUAUUCAUGUAGAGUCAGAACUAGAACGCAACUUCUUUUACUUUGACUCUGGCAACACACAAUUCGAAAGGACGAGAGUUUGUGGUGGUAUUGUUCCACAACUGAGGGAUUUGAUCCAUGGACUGACUUUGGUCACCUACACCCACAAACAAAAAACAUGUUUUCACAGAACAGGUUGCCAGGAAAUUUGCUUAAGAUAGGAAACAUCAAUGCAGGAAACAUUUCCUAAACUGAUGUUUGGCCACACCAUGAAAUGUAAUUAAAAAGAAAAUCGAAGACAACAAAUGUGAGUAGCAAUAGACAAUUACACUUUAAAAUAAAACACAGAAAAUAAUGCACCUAAUACUCACCAACCCAUUUCAUUCAAGGCAUUUCAAGAGAUGCUUUCAAUUCUAAAAUAGACUUUUGAAAGGAGUGUCUGUAGUAACUUGACCCACCACAAAGGCUAAAUUUCACUAAACGUGAGCAAAAGAAUUCAGGCUUGACAGUGACAAAUAGGUAGAUGGUGUAAAUGCCCUCACUUUUACUUAUGUCUUUUUAUAUUUUGGAUUCUCUGAGCCAGGGUCUCACUCGGUAACUCAGGCUGACCUUGAAAGCAUGGCCCUCUUCCUGCCUUGGCCUCAGAGGUGCUGGGAGCACAGGCUCGGACCACUGUGUCCACCUACACUUUUGAGAUGACCAAAAAGAAUGUGAAAACCAGUUAGUGAUUGGCAAACAGUGUACAGGCGUGCUUUAUCUGAACUAUUUGUUGGCAGUCUGAUGGGUGGCAGACCGCGUCUGAUUUGCCCUAGUGUUUUGUAGGGCAACUUUUUUUCCAUAUGAGAAAACUCCUACAAUGCUUGAGGGUUACUUGAGUUCCCAGCAGCUAUUUUUGGCAUUGUGUGUAGGUGAGGUAAAAACUAAAGGAUGUCUGAAAAGUUCAUUGGUUUUUGGAAGGCUUAGCUUCCCUUGAUGAUCAGUAGCCAGCUCCUUUUUCUUUUUUUAAGAUUUACUUUAUGUAUAUGAGUACACAGUCACUCUCAUCAGACACACCAAAAGAGGGCAUCAAUCUCAAUGUAGAUGGUUGUGAGCCACCAUGUGGUUGCUGGGGUUUGAACUCAGGACCUCUGGAAGAGCAGCCAGUGCUCUUCACUGCUGAACCAUCUCUCCAGUCCAUCUCUAACUUUUCUUACAAUUAAAAAUUGUACAAAAUGAUGAAUUUGAUCAUGGUAUCUUCCCACAUGCAUGCCAUAUUCUUCCUUCAUAUUCAUCAUCCCAUAGCCCCUUUCUUGGCCACAUUAUACCCUUCCUCCUCCCAGGUCACCCUCUUCUAUAUAUAUUUGGGAGGCCAUCAAAUGGCUCAGUGCUUUCUGCCAAGCCUGAUGACCCAUUUGUUCCCCGCAAGAAGAGAACUUUCCUCAAGUUGACCUCCAUGCACCCACCCCGUUCACUACACAAACAAAUAAAUGUAUUUUUAAAAAUCUAGAAUGUCCUAAAUAUAUUCAAUCUACAUGUCUUUUGAGAUACUCAAAAUAUGAAGGGUUAUGUGGUGUGUGUAUGUGUGUUUGUGAAGGGUUGUGUGUGUGUGUGUGUGUGUGUGUGUGUGUUGCAGAAAAUGUUUUAGGAGAACUCCUCCACUUACGAAGCAUUUCUAGAAGGCAGAAAUGCCAAGUGAGAGGUUAAGAACAAGUGAUGUAAUCGCCCUGAGAGGAGCGUUCCAGAGCAGAACCAGCAGUCUCAGGACAAGUGAGUUUGAACAGGAAGAAGAAUUCCCAGGCAAGAGAAGGGGUGACACAAAGGUUGAGAGCAGCAGAGCAGAAGUCUAAGCAGAUUUUGUGUAUAAGGCACUCCAGUAGACCGGUCUCCAGAAAGAGACGAACACCUAGGUAAGGAUUCACCACUGGUCCUGUGGACACGGCCAGCCACCGAAGGGUUCUGAUGUGAGAAGUCCACUGGGACUGAGGAAAAUAUUAACUUGGCUUUUUAAAAAAACAAGUCAUGAAUUAAUAGAGGGAAAAUGAAAUGAGAGCUAACAGGAGGCAGUGGAUGGAGCAACAGAGGCUGGGCCAGGAGUCAAAGGUCAAGUUCAAAGACCCAGAUGGAAGGACAGACCUUCACAGAGCCAGAGUUAGGCGGCUGACAUUGGGAUAACAGGAAGACUGGAGAGAAAACGACCGAAGUUAGGGCUGGGGACAUAACUCAGUGCCUGCCACCCGUGAAACACUGGGAUCACCUUAGCAUCACACACAAUUAAGAUCCUGAGUUUCCAGCUUGUUACACAGACCACUGAGUCCCAACACUUGUGUCCUGGUAUAAUUUAUGUGGAACCAAAGGUGAAGAUUCACUCCAUUCCUGAGAUUCUAAUGCUGACCUCUCGUCUCAUCCUGUUGCAGACGGAGACAACUACAGAGAACCACGCCAAUCCAAAUCCACACCCGUGGAGCCCAGUCGCAGCGGGCACAGUAACAAAACACUCCUGCACCUGAGGCUUGGGGAACAUUGCAGGAAAUUGAGCAGAGAGAUGGUGAGAUCAGAGGAUUGUCAGAAGCGACCCCAUAAAGUCUCACCAACAUGACUGACCAGCCCAAACAUAAGCUGAACAAGGAUGACAGCAAAGGACACACCAAAGUGGGUGGGGCAAAGGCCUCGCUCGACCCUACACAAAGAAUUUAGGCAACUAAGGAAAGAUGGGGAUGGGAAAUUUGGGUUUCUGAAGGGAAGAGCACACCAAUUGGUUGUACAGGGCCAACGGGUCAGCUCUGAAAGCAUACAUACAGUAACAUGGACUGAGCAGGAUAUAUUUAGGUAGUAAGAUCCACCCUGCCUACUCUGUUCUACCUAAUGUUUCCUGUGCCAUUUAACAUUCAAAGAAAAACGAACAUUUUACAUAUAGCUUCAAAGUAAAUGUACCACCUGAACAUCUGAUUGGUGAUUUUGUUUAAAACAGGAUGACGAUUAGUUUCAGUACACAGAAAAGAUAACUAUUAAGAGCUAUGUGAUGGUUUGUACAUGCUUGGUCCAGGGAGUGGCACUAUUAGGAGGUGUGUCCUUGUUGGAGUAGGUGUCUCACUGUGAACAUGGGUUUCAAGGCCCUCAUCCUAGCUGCCUGGAAAUGAGUAUUCUGCCAGCACCCUUCAGAUGAAGAUAUAGAACUCUCAGCUCCUCCUGUACCAUGCCUGCCUGGAUGCUGCCAUGAUGGUAAUAGACCGAACCUCUGAAGCUGUAAUUCAGCCCCAAUUAAAUGUUGUCCUUUAUGAGACUUUCAUUGGUCAUGGUGUCUGUGCACAGUAGUAAAACCCUAACUAAGGCAGGCUAGGAGGUAUUGAACCAUAUAAGAUACAUCUACCAUAUUGAUUUGGCUUGGGACAAACUCAUCAGUAAUUCCCCAAGCAAGCAAAACUGUGUCCCAUCCAGUGAUUACAUACUUUCUAUUAAAAAUAAAUUGUGAUUUCCCCCUACGCGAGGCAUUUAUAAUAGGUACAGUGAAAUAAAUAGGGAAUGAUGGCCACUAGGGGCCAGAAGAAGAGAAACUAGAGUGUGACUCAAUGGGUGUAGAGCUGUAGACAUCCAAGGUGGAACACUGCCGAACCAGACAUUUAAAACGGCUCUGGGGAUGAAUUUCAUUUUACAUAGAGAGCGUAUGUUGUUGGGGAUUGCAGAAAGUAUAGAGAUGGACAAUGGUGGUGGUUGCAUAGUUAAAUGAAUAUCUUUAAUGUCACUGAACAUUAAAAAUAGUUACAAAAAAGAUAAAUCUUAUAUUAAAUAUGUUUUACCGCCAUAAAAAACUAUACGUCUGACUAUAUUCUUAUCACAUCUACCAUUCUGAUGAUCAUCUCAGUUAUUUAACCUCAAGUUCGACAUAAAUAAUUAGUGUUAUUAGAGAGAGCUACAUAAGUCAAAGUAAACUCUAAGUAGCUAGCCCUGGCUAUCCUGGAACUCACUCUGUAGACCAGGAUAGCCCCAAACUCAUAGAGAUCCACAUGUCUCUGCCUCCAGAGAGCUGCAAUUAGAGGCAUGCACCCCCACCAUCUCUCCUACAAAGAUUCUUCAGUACUCAUAGAAUUUUACAAGCCACCUCAGGUUCAGAUCGCUCCUCAAGGUUACAUAAUCAGUAUCAACUGCUAGGGACAGUGGGCUGUCCAAGCUGCAGAGCUGCCAGCAAGUCCUACGGGAGUGCGGAAUUUGGUGAGUUGUGAAUCUACACCUAUUUGGGGGCUGGAGGCGGGGGCUUUUCCAUAAGGUGUUGCCUUUGAGUUGCUCAUACAUAGUCUUGUAGUGAGCCCCACACUCAUGCACCUGUAAGUAACCCCAAUAAACGUAUUGUUUCACACACUAGAGAAUUGCUUCAUUGGUCUGUCCUUUGUGCCCUUUCUAUGGAGAGUGGAUGAACAGACAUUUGUUCACUGCUCCCAGGAAAGGUUACACAAUACAUGCCUUCCUGAAAACUUUCCCCCUUGAGCUAAAAAAAAAAAAAAAAAAAAAAAAAAAAAAAAAAAAAAAAAGGAAGAAGAAGAAAAAGAA